ensembl:snoRNA
UUGCCCACCUUGGACCCCCAGUCGUCCUUGGUGUCGAACACAGGGGGGCAGAGAGAGUCUCUCAUAAACCUGUAGUGAAGGCUCCCAUCCUCACUGCGGAUCCUGUCGGGAGAAACAACC